UACAGAGGGGGCAAGCGUUGUUCGGAAUUACUGGGCGUAAAGGGCGCGUAGGCGGCCUGCUAAGUCGAACGUGAAAUCCCUGGGCUCAACCCAGGAACUGCGUCCGAUACUGGUUGGCUUGAAUCCGGGAGAGGGAUGUGGAAUUCCAGGUGUAGCGGUGAAAUGCGUAGAUAUCAGGAGGAACACCAAUAGCGAAGGCAGCUCGCUGGGACGGUACUGACGCUGAGGCGCGAAAGCGUGGGGAGCGAACAGG
rnacentral:rRNA from 1 species